rnacentral:rRNA from 1 species
CCUACGGGUGGCAGCAGUAGGGAAUAUUGCUCAAUGGGGGAAACCCUGAAGCAGCAACGCCGCGUGGAGGAUGAAGGUUUUCGGAUUGUAAACUCCUUUUUUUAGAGAAGAUAAUGACGGUAUCUAACGAAUACGCACCGGCUAACUCCGUGCAAGCAGCCGCGGUAAUACGGAGGGUGCAAGCGUUACUCGGAAUCACUGGGCGUAAAUAGCGCGUAGGCGGGAUAGCAAGUCAGCUGUGAAAUCCUAGGGCUUAACCAUAGAACUGCAGUUGAAACUGUGAUUCUGGAGUAUGGGAGAGGUAGGUGGAAUUCUUGGUGUAGGGGUAAAA